AAGCGCGCCCCGGAAUCCUUCGGGAGGAAGGGUCGCGACUGACCUGCGGACGGGUGAGUAACGCGUGGGCAACCUGCCCCAUACAGGGGGACAACGGCCGGAAACGGCCGCUAAUACCGCAUGAUUCCUCUUGGCCGCAUGGCCGGGAGGGGAAAGCCGAGACGGUAUGGGAUGGACCCGCGUCUGAUUAGCUGGUUGGCGAGGUAACGGCUCACCAAGGCGACGAUCAGUAGCCGGCCUGAGAGGGCGACCGGCCACAUUGGGACUGAGACACGGCCCAAACUCCUACGGGAGGCAGCAGUGGGGAAUAUUGCACAAUGGGGGAAACCCUGAUGCAGCGACGCCGCGUGAAGGACGAAGUAUUUCGAUACGUAAACUUCUAUCAGCAGGGAAGAAAAUGACGGUACCUGACCAAGAAGCCCCGGCUAACUACGUGCCAGCAGCCGCGGUAAUACGUAGGGGGCAAGCGUUAUCCGGAUUUACUGGGUGUAAAGGGAGCGUAGACGGCCAUGCAAGUCUGAUGUGAAAACCCGGGGCUCAACCCCGGGACUGCAUUGGAAACUGUGCGGCUGGAGUGUCGGAGAGGCAAGUGGAAUUCCUAGUGUAGCGGUGAAAUGCGUAGAUAUUAGGAGGAACACCAGUGGCGAAGGCGGCUUGCUGGACGACGACUGACGUUGAGGCUCGAAAGCGUGGGGAGCAAACAGGAUUAGAUACCCUGGUAGUCCACGCCGUANACGAUGACUGCUAGGUGUCGGGGGGCAUGGCCCCNCGGUGCCGCAGCUAAC
rnacentral:rRNA from 1 species